GACGAACGCUGGCGGCGUGCUUAACACAUGCAAGUCGAACGGAAAGGCCCUGCUUUUGUGGGGUGCUCGAGUGGCGAACGGGUGAGUAACACGUGAGUAACCUGCCCUUGACUUUGGGAUAACUUCAGGAAACUGGGGCUAAUACCGGAUAGGAGCUCCUGCUGCAGGGUGGGGGUUGGAAAGUUUCGGCGGUUGGGGAUGGACUCGCGGCUUAUCAGAUUGUUGGUGGGGUAGUGGCUUACCAAGGCUUUGACGGGUAGCCGGCCUGAGAGGGUGACCGGCCACAUUAGGACGGAGAUACGGCCCAGACUCCUACGGGAGGCAGCAGUGGGGAAUAUUGCACAAUGGGCGGAGGCCUGAUGCAGCAACGCCGCGUGCGGGAUGACGGCCUUCGGGUUGUAAACCGCUUUCGCCUGUGACGAAGCGUGAGUGACGGUAAUGGGUAAAGAAGCACCGGCUAACUACGUG
rnacentral:rRNA from 1 species